rnacentral:rRNA from 1 species
AGCCAGACUCCUACGGGAGGCAGCAGUGAGGAAUAUUGGUCAAUGGGCGGAAGCCUGAACCAGCCAAGUCGCGUGAGGGACUAAGGCCCUGCGGGUCGUAAACCUCUUUUGCCGGGGAGCAGUGGUCCGGACGCGUCCGGACCGGGAGAGUACCCGGAGAAAAAGCAUCGGCUAACUCCGUGCCAGCAGCCGCGGUAAUACGGAGGAUGCGAGCGUUAUCCGGAUUUAUUGGGUUUAAAGGGUGCGUAGGCGGAAUGCCAAGUCAGCGGUAAAAUCGCGGGGCUCAACCUCGCUCCGCCGUUGAAACUGGCAGUCUCGAGUUGGAGAGAAGUAUGCGGAAUGCGCGGUGUAGCGGUGAAAUGCAUAGAUAUCGCGCAGAACUCCGAUUGCGAAGGCAGCAUGCCGGCUCCACACUGACGCUGAGGCACGAAAGCGUGGGUAUCGAACAGGAUUAGAUACCCUCGUAC